GUGUUUAAGACUAGAUAACGAUGCUUAGGUCAUUAUGGCCUGCGGAUAACACUAGAAAAACUUUCGUAAAAUGGCCGAUGCUUCAAGCUCCUGCCUACGCACCCAGCUGCACCCAGAGACAUCUUCCUCCCUCCCACCUCGCCAGCCAGCACCACCGUUCAGCCACAGGGUCAGACUUAAUGGAGCUGAGCACACUUCCUAUCAAGCUUCCUGUGGAAAGCCAGUCAGCUGAGACUGAGAAAGGCCGCCACACGCUCGAAGUCCCUGGAAAUCAAACGGGGAGCCGGGCACGGGGGCAGUGGCCCUUUCAGGCUAUUGCUUUGAUACUUUUGAUACGGGCUUGGGUUUCUCUAGAAGACUCUGGCGCUGCCUCCUCCAUGUAGCUCUGAGAGAACAUCCAUGCCCCUUGUCUGGGCCACGGGGCCUAGGCAACUCCGAUGAGUUGUGAAUUUCUGAAAAGUACCAACGCCUAGACUCAGGAAAUUAAGAAAUUCUGCCAUGUGUCUUCAUUAGUAUUUUUCAGUGCAGGGUUUGAUAUCAUCAACUUAGCCCCUAAAUUAAAGCAAUGAAUAUAACAGUCACAAUGCAAUAAAGUCAAUGUUAUGAUAGUUUUAUUUGAAAUGUACUGUUCUCUACAAGUGGGAACUAAUCGAUAUAAAUAUAUUACACAUACAUUAUUUGAGAGAAAGCCCACCGCCUUCUUAGGAAAAGUGAACAGCCGAGAGUGGGCAAUUUCAGACUGAUUUAUGAACUGAGAAAAUCCUUCUGUUUUUUUUUUUUAAUUUUUUUUUUUUGCCUAAAAUGGUCAGGAGGUGAUGAAGACUGACUUCCCAGCCCUUCACUGCCAAAUCUUAACUUUCUGAAAACUUACAGAAAUGCUUGAUUAAAACUAGAAUAAAAAUCUCCAGUUGCCUUCAGCAAACCACAGCACAAGGGUGGGAAAAACAGUGCCAGGUUGCAGUUUAAGUAUAGUUACUUGGCGCCUGCUGAAAGCACUGCUCCCUUCCUGUUUAAUAAUUAAUUCAACUUUAAAGCCCCAAGGAUCUGGACUCGGCACCAGCUUCACAAAGCAGUACAGAAACAAAAUGCUUCCAGAACCGGAGGGGGGACGGAGGAAGAAAGAAUCUAACAUUUCAAGAAACAUCACCACAUGGGGCCG
rnacentral:lncRNA from 1 species